rfam:Salmo salar isolate Sally breed double haploid chromosome ssa01, whole genome shotgun sequence.
GCUCAGUUGGUAGAGCAUGGUGUUUGCAACGCCAGGGUUGUGGGUUCAAUUCCCAC